UACGUAGGUGGCAAGCGUUGUCCGGAAUUAUUGGGCGUAAAGCGCGCGCAGGCGGUCCUUUAAGCCUGAUGUGAAAGCCCACGGCUCAACCGUGGAGGGUCAUUGGAAACUGGGGGACUUGAGUGCAGAAGAGGAAAGCGGAAUUCCACGUGUAGCGGUGAAAUGCGUAGAGAUGUGGAGGAACACCAGUGGCGAAGGCGGCUUUCUGGUCUGUAACUGACGCUGAGGCGCGAAGGCCAGGGGAGCAAACGGG
rnacentral:rRNA from 1 species